ACAGCUGGCCAGCAGGCGGGGCCUCCGUGUCUGUGGCGGGGAUGUCACCUUUCUUCGCAGGAAGAAACACUCUGUCUUCCUGCUUUGAGGACAGCUGAAGUCUUGCCACUUCUUCUGGAUGCUCUGACCAUCAGUAAGAGACACGGUCUGACUUUGUUACCCCGGCUGGAGUGCAGUGGUGCAAUCAUGGCUCACUGCAGCCUUAACCUCCUGGGCUCAAGUGAUCCUCUCGCCAAGGCUAGGAUAAGUAGCUAGGACUACAGAUGCGCCCCAUCACGCCCAGCUAAUUUUACAACUUCUGUAGAGAUGGAGUGUUGCUGGGUUGCCCAGGCUGGUCUUGAAUUCCUGGGCUCAAGCGAUCCUCCUGUGUCCGGAAUUGGUGGGUUCUUGGUCUCACUGACUUCAAGAAUGAAGCCGCGGACCCUCGCGAGUCUGUAUCCACCAGCUACUCUUCCAGAUUCAUGAGGCAAGGCCUGCCUGCUCACCUGGCUGGCCCCAAGCACCUCUUCAACCUGUUGCCACCGUCCUGCCUUGCUGCCCUUCUCAGCUCAUCCAGCAGGGUCUCCAAGUCGUGGAAACAGAAGCACAUAUACACACAUGCUCAUAUGUACAUGCCCACAGUCACAUAAGCACACCGAGAAACACCAUCGCAGACAUGUUCUCACAAGCACAUGUGCAUAACACUCACUACCCCUCACGCGUAUACACAUUAAUACACACACUCAUGCACACUCAGUCUUACACACACAGACACACAGCCAUAAUCACUGUUGUUGGUUGAAUUGUGCCCCCCCAUCCCCACCAAAAAGAUAAGUUGGAGUCCUAACCCCCAGUACCUGGGGAUGUGACCGUAGUUGGAAAUAGGGUGUUUGUAGAUGUAAUCAAAUUAAGAUGAGAUCUUACUGGAUUAGAGUGGGCCUUAAAUCCAGUGACUGGUGUCCUUAUAAGGAGAAAAAGAUUUGAAAACAGAGACAUGGAGACACAGAGCAGAAGGCCAUGUGAUGAUGGAGUCAGAGAUUGGAGUGAUGCAGCUAUGAGCCGAGAAAUACCAAGGUGCUGGCAGCCCCCAGAAGCAAGGAGAGAGGCAAGGAACAAUCUCCAUCAGAGCCUCUGGAAGAAACAGACUCUGCCAACACCUUGAUUUCAGACUUUUGGCCUCCUUCACUGUGCGAGAAUACGUUUCUGUUGUUUUAAACUACUGAGUCACCA
rnacentral:lncRNA from 1 species